rnacentral:rRNA from 1 species
UACGUAGGGUGCGAGCGUUGUCCGGAAUUAUUGGGCGUAAAGGGCUCGUAGGCGGUCUGUCGCGUCGGGAGUGAAAACUCAGGGCUUAACCCUGAGCCUGCUUCCGAUACGGGCAGACUAGAGGUAUGCAGGGGGGAACGGAAUUCCUGGUGUAGCGGUGAAAUGCGCAGAUAUCAGGAGGAACACCAGUGGCGAAGGCGGUUCUCUGGGCAUUACCUGACGCUGAGGAGCGAAAGUGUGGGGAGCGAACAGG